GGCGGGGGGGUGAGGCCAGCAGCCUGGUAGAGCGCUGAGAAGGAGGCAGCGUCGAGGCUCCUGCGCGGGAUAAGCCGAGGUUGCCACCGCAGGCCUGGCACGACCAGGGCCCGGAUGCCCCGCCCGGCCCGGCCCCCGCGCGCACAGGUACCUGAGACGAUUUCAACUGAAGUAAUGAAGGCAGUGUCGUGCUGUCGAGAGAAAGGUGGAUCCCAACAACAGGAAACUACCUAAAUCACCGACCAGUUCUGGUGCUGCCCGCGCGGAGCUGCCUCGCCCGCCGCCGCCGCCGUUACUGCCGCCGCCGCCGCCAAAGGAGAACCCUGUGAUCGCGCCCGGCCCCUCGCCAACCUGCGCCCGCCGCUGUCACUGUGUGUCCCGGGCUGCCGCUAAGGCAUCACGGAGGGAGAAGCCACCGGCCCCGUUUUGCCAAUCAGCCAAAGUCAAGCCCUUUUGCCAACCUGCGUGUCCAUGCCUGCAAGCCCUUCUCUUUGCCAAGGAAGAAAGGAAGAAAGAAAAAAGAAACCCAGGGGCCUGUAUCCCCUGAUUAAACACAGCCCAGCACUCCAGGCAGGCAAGCCCGGUGGCGGCUCCUUGCACCAUUGACCUCAGGCCAGACACCUCAGCUGCCUACAAUGCGACCUCCGCCUUCUGGCUAGGUUUGCCGGCCCUGCAGGAAACCAGCUCCACCGGGAGGACAGAGGCCACUUCAAGCAGUGGAACCCCGAGACAGCAAACCAGCCCUGUCACCGCUUUACAUUUAGGACAAUAUCUCUCUAUAUAGAAUUUUAGCGCUAUAUGGCUUUUCCCCCCAGAAAACAACAAAUAAACCAGCACCAAGCAAACAGAAAAAGAAACAAAAAGUCAGAACAAACCAGCCCUGCACAGAUGUAACGGCCAGCGAGAUGGUGAAUGUGGGAGGGAGGAAUGGGGCUCCGGCACAGGUGCAAGUUCCUGGGCAGAGCCGAAGACAGAGGGAGCAGAACGGCUCUCUGGAAGCGAAAAGAACCACAUUGCCUGGAGCUUCAUCAGGAAAAAUUAAAGUUGGCUGUGAGCUCCCGGA